AAAAUUUUUACCUAGCUGUCUCAGUAAUUCUCUAUAUUUAUCCUUCUUCCGUUUUACGUUGUUUUUGAGGUUUGUCUCAUAACCAGUGGUGAGUUCAACCACAUAUAAGGAAUCAUUUGAGCACGAUAAUAACAAAUCUGGGCGAUACGUAUCACCAGUAAGUAUUGAAGGGCUUUUGAAUCCAUUUAAAUCAGCAUAGAGAGUAGAACCGUCAACAGUUUGUAAAGUAUGAGCAAGAAAGUUCAGGACUGAUUUGUGUGUCCACGUAAAUCGGUCGAGACAAAACUGACAUCCAACUACUAUGUGUAGUAAUGUUUCAGGGCUAAGACAAAAAGAACAGUCUGAAUUUGAAAAUAUUGCCCAUUUGUUUAGGUUUUUGCGCGUCGGAAGAGAGUUGUUAAUGUAACGAAUGGUAAAGUUGUAAAUGUUUUUCGGGAGCUUUGAUUGGGCGAUGGACCACACCUUGUUAAGCUGAGGUAAAGCGAACUUCUUGACGCUGCAGAAAAAGGAUCCUUGACUGGUUAAUUGGUUUAGGAGUUUGUUUUCGUGUCCAGAACGGAAAUCUUUGAGAACUUCCUUAGUAGAGUUAUAAGCGUCAUACUGGAUAUUAGUAUAGUUACUGGUUGCUCUUCACAGGUCGUUAGUUGAUUCAUAAUUUGGAGAAAAUUUCAAAGCUUUUCGGAGGACUGUUUAACAAUGGAUAAAUUUUGCCGAUGGAGGAUAAAUACUCAGGCCAAAUUUGUUAUUUGCUAGAAAGACA